rnacentral:rRNA from 1 species
AUGGCUUGCCAUCAAAGAUCUGCAAGUUUGCCUUCUAUUGAUCACUCCAGUGAAUCCAAAGUAGAUGUAGAGCUGCAGCGCCUGAAGUCAUGCAUCUCUUCACCCUUCGCAACCAUCGUCACAAUGUGUGGUGGCUACGCAAGGCUUGGAGACAUCUACAAGAACAUAGAGGAGAUCAUGGACUUGCCCAGCAACCAAGUUGGCCUCUCCUUUCCCCCAAACAAGAAAAUGGUGGAAGAGGAACUGGAACGGUCCCUCGUGCUGAUCGAUCUCUGCAAUUCCAUGCAAGAGAAUUUAGCAGGGCUGAAGAUGAAUACUCAGGAGCUGGAACUGGUUCUCAAAAGAGGAGAUGAUGCGGCUGUUCAGCUCAAGGUCGAGUCUUUCAUUCGCCUCGCGAAGCAGGCCCAGAAGCCUUUCAAGAAGAUCACAAGCAGCAAAGCUGUUGCUGAGGAUUGCAGGCUGGUCAGGGUACUGGCGGAAGCCAGAGAGAUGUCUGUCUCUCUACUUGAGUCCAUAUUGCAUCUGUUGCUAAAGCAGUUCACCACCAAAAAAGGAAGCAAAUGGUCUCUUGUCCAGAAAAGAAAGGUCGUUUGUGAGGAGGAACAGUUGCAAGUGCUAGAGUGA